rnacentral:rRNA from 1 species
GAUGAACGCUAGCGGAAGGCUUAAUACAUGCAAGUCGAGCGGUAGUCCCCUUCGGGGGAGUGAGAGCGGCGCACGGGUGAGUAACGCGUACAUGACCUGCCUGUCAGAAGGGGAUAGCCCUGGGAAACUGGGAUUAAUACCCUAUGGUAUUGAUAUUAUGAAUGAUAUCAAUUAAAGUUGAGGCGCUGACAGAUGGAUGUGCGUCUGAUUAGCUAGUUGGUAGGGUAACGGCCUACCAAGGCGACGAUCAGUAGGGGGCGUGAGAGCGUGGUCCCCCACACGGGUACUGAGACACGGACCCGACUCCUACGGGAGGCAGCAGUAAGGAAUAUUGGUCAAUGCCCGCAAGGGUGAACCAGCCAUUCCGCGUGGAGGAUGAAGGCCCUAUGGGUUGUAAACUUCUUUUUAGUAUGGGAAGAAAAUAGCUAGAUGUAUCUGGUAC